AGUGAACGCUGGCGGUAGGCCUAACACAUGCAAGUCGAACGGCAGCACAGUAAGAGCUUGCUCUUACGGGUGGCGAGUAGCGGACGGGUGAGGAAUACAUCGGAAUCUACUUUUUCGUGGGGGAUAACGUAGGGAAACUUACGCCAAUACCGCAUACGACCUACGGGUGAAAGCAGGGGAUCUUCGGACCUUGCGCGAUUGAAUGAGCCGAUGUCGGAUUAGCUAGUUGGCGGGGUAAAGGCCCACCAAGGCGACGAUCCGUAGCUGGUCUGAGAGGAUGAUCCGACACACUGGAACUGAGAAACGGUCCAGACUCCUACGGGAGGCCGCAGUUGGGAAUAUUCGGAAAUGGGCGCAAGCCUGAUCCAGCCAUACCGCGUGGGUGAAGAAGGCCUUCGGGUUGUAAAGCCCUUUUGUUGGGAAAGAAAAGCAGCAGGUUAAUACCCCGCUGUUCUGACGGUACCCAAAGAAUAAGCACCGGCUAACUUCGUG
rnacentral:rRNA from 1 species